GUGGCCCGGGUCUGCUGCUCCCGGGAUCUGGCCGCGGAGGUCUCGGGCUCUCCGGUCCCGAGUCGCGGUGGUCGCGAUGUUUUUCUCCGGGCCCGGGGCCCGGCCACGGACCUGGGAAGCCAGCCCCUCCGAGCAUAAGAAGUGGGUGGAAGUAUUUAAAGCGUGCGACGAAGAUAACAAAGGCUAUCUAAGCAGAGAGGACUUUAAAGUUGCCAUUGUAAUGCUGUUUGGGUACAAGCCCUCCAAGAUAGAAGCUGAUUCCAUGAUGUCUUCAGUAAAUCCAAACACUUCCGGUAUAUUGCUUGAGGAGUUUUUAAGUAUUGUAAGAAAAAAGAAAGAAGUCCAACUCCAUCGGAAUGAAAUAAGACACAUCUUUACAGCUUUUGACAGGCACUAUCGUGGGUAUUUAACUUUGGAAGAUUUCAAGAAAGCAUUUAGGCUGGUAGCUCCCAAGUUAUCAGAAAGGACUGUUCUGGACGUAUUCAGAUGCCCAGGGCUCACCUGCCUGUCUCUAAAUCAACACCUGAUUUCAAGAGAGGACCUGUCUGAAGGAUUUACAUGGGCUUUAUGAUGCAGUUUUGAAUCAGUCUGUUGCCUUCUCCUAAGAUGUAAAUGUGUGACCAGCUGUAACUCAAAUUGCCUUAAGUAAUAAGCGAAAUCUGUUUGUUCACACACCUGAACCCAGGAGUAGGGAGAUACACUUGGGUAUAAUUUGACUGGGGCUGGGGCUCCGCUCUGCCUCUCUGGUACUCUUCAGAUUUGCCCUUGGCUGUGUCCUCUCCUCUGUGACUGGCCUGACGCCCCUUGUGGUUACAGCACUGACUGUGGUAUCUCCAGCCCCCACAGCCUGAGCUGAAAGCUGCUCUCCUCAGAAGGAGAGUCAGAAGUCCUGAGCUCCUCCCUAAGGUGAGUGGUGUCUGCUAAUCUGAGAACCAGUCACCAUGGGCAAGGAGGUGGCAUCCUGCUCAUUGGCAGCACAUCCCUGGAGCUUGGGUGGGAUCCUUCCCUCCCAGAUCACAGGGAUGCUCCAGCAGUGAGGGCAGAGUCCGGUGGGUCCUAAGGAAGAGCCAGACAAUGCUGAUGGCCCAGAGACUACAAGCUUUUCCUGUGUAGAAAUCAAUUCAGAACAUAUCUUACCUGAGAAACCUUAAUGGAGGUGGGAAGAAGUUUAAGAAACCUGUUUCCACGUGAGCCAACAGUCUACUCUGGCUAAUGAAGGAAUUGGAACAUGAUAUUUAGAUAAAAAGUUGGAACUCAGUGAAUUGGGAACUGAAGCCUUUCAUUUGACUUGUGAUCUUGUACAUUCUGGAAGCUCAUACAUGUAAUCGUGGAACAGAUAAAGCAGCUGGAGGAAAUCUUUCCUGAACAAAACCCAAGUGGGGCAUUUGGGUGUAAGCCAAGAUUCCAGCAGCUACAGAGGGAGAUGUGAAAAGGCUGCCUACAUUACAGCACCAACAAAUCACUUCAGGCCCGAUAGGAAUGUCCUUUAGGUAAUGAUCAGAUAGAGGGUAGGGACCUUUACACAUUUAACUGCCUGCCCACAAAGUAAAGUGUUUACUGUAACCUCCCAAGGUCUCUCCACCAAAAAGUUAAUUCUAUGAUCUACCUGAAGGAAGAACAGUAUUGUGAGUGACUUGGUGGCCUCAACAUAAAUGGAAAUUCUGAGUCUGCUUAGUCUAAACCCAGCCUCCCACUAAGUUACCAUGAGGUCCUAGGCAAGACACUGUGUCUGUAACUCCCUAGGGUUCCAUUCCUCCAACCAAACUUCAGAUCUGUAAUGCAAAUUUAGCUACUAAACAAUAGCCAAUAAUAACAAAU